GCGAUUUCUCAUCUGAGCAAAAGACCAAUAUACAACUAUUUUCAGUCACAGAUUCUUUGUUGUUCCUACAGCUAAACGAUAAUUAAUCCUUGUGAAUAAUUGAAGCUCUAGGCUUAAAUACAUGCAGUCGAAUGUGAUCACACUUCUAAGAUGCGCACAAAUACAAACUUAUACAUUGCUGCCAGUUAUAUGUUUCCCUGCCACAUAAUAGUUACCUAGCAUAACAAGGAAACUGAAACAUAAAGUGUUGUAACCUCUCAAUUUCAAGUUUGCAGCAAGAAUGCAAGACCAUUACUUUAAAUUGGCUAAUGGAAAGUAGAAAUAAGAAGAGCCCAGAAUCUCAAUUUACAUAAGAAGAUAAAUAUGUGCAUGUGUAACACAAACAAGCUUGGUUGACAGAGGAAAGCUUGGUUCCCAAAUACAUCAAAAUCUGAUUUUCCAAACAAGCUUGAGAUGCACAAAGACCCAAAUUCAAAAAACAAACAAGACUAGGAUCCCAAUUCACAAACACCCAAAUCAGAGAACUUGAAGCAUAGGAUCUGAAUUCAGAAAGAAAUUGAUGCUUGUAAUUGUUAUUUAGGAAAGACAAAAUUCAGAAAACAAACUACAUGACUCCAAACAAGCAUCUCAUUGCACAAACUUGUACCCGUUUCAAACAGGGUAAAGAUGGCACCCUCAACUCUAGCGGCCUUCACCAGCGAAAUACCAAACCUGCAAGUACUGAAAGAAAAUUUCGAACUUUUGAGAAUUUUCCGAGUAAAAACAAUCAGCACAAUUCAGAUUGUGCAAGCGACGAAUAUACACGAUUAGAAACAAAAAGGAAAGAGAAAGCAUCGAAAGGUGAAUACUCUUUCGUAAUCAGACCUAAUUGACCUCCUACAAAGAAAUAAACAGUCGAAAGCAACAAAAUUUGCCGAAACCAUGAAAUGUCCAAAAGCGGCAAAAGAAAAACCAUUGAGCUCCAUAUUUUUUGCAGACCCAAGUCCGAUUGUGUAGAAAAAAAAAAAUCAAAAAUCCUAAUAAACUUUGCAUACUCCUUUAUAAUACAUGAGCAAGAUAUGAUUUUGAAACAUGAAUUUCGCGAAAAUGUCACAAAACUCACCUUCGAGAGGAUCUGACGCAAAAACUCACUUCAUCAGCUGAAUAACUCGUCUUCGUUAUGUCGAAGGAGGCGGAUUUGCAGACCCCUACCCCUCCGAUUUGAAGUAAUUUGAGGGAUAAAAUUGUAAAGUUGAAAUCUAAUAUCAUUUCACUGUUCAAAUCGAUAUUAUUCAACUGGGGGUGAGCGGUGGUUGUAUUUUCUCUUCCGAACAGUGAUUUUGGAGCGGGCUUUGAUUUUGGUGCGGGCCUUCAUUAUUAUUUACAAAGCCUAUCAAACAGUGGGUUAGGGUGAGAAAUAUAAGUUAUCUCAUGUAAGAGUACCAAAUACUACACAUGCUCGGCCCAACUUUAGAGUAUAAUUACGUGGGCUUUUAAACUAAUUAAAACCUAAUCAAGCUUUCAAAAGAUUAUAGCGAGCGUGACCAUUUGUUUGCAGAUUCUGCAGGUCGCCGUUGACUCCGUAAAAUGUUUUCGACUGAUGAUACGAAUAUAAUUUCAACUCAACUCCAUAAAUUGAUUUGCUCAUUUACUGAAGAAGACG
rnacentral:lncRNA from 1 species